rnacentral:tRNA from 1 species
GCGGAUAUGGCGGAAUCGGCAGACGCGCACGUUUGAGGGGCGUGUGGGUAAAACCGUGCCAGUUCAAGUCUGGCUAUCCGCA